rnacentral:rRNA from 1 species
GACAGAGGGUGCAAACGUUGUUCGGAAUUACUGGGCGUAAAGCGCAUGUAGGCGGCCUAGCAGGUCGGACGUGAAAUCCCUCGGCUCAACCAAGGAAGUGCAUUCGAAACCGCAAGGCUCGAGUCCCGGAGAGGAUGGUGGAAUUCUCGGUGUAGAGGUGAAAUUCGUAGAUAUCGAGAGGAACACCGGCGGCGAAGGCGGCCAUCUGGACGAGGACUGACGCUGAGAUGCGAAAGCGUGGGGAGCAAACAGG